UACGGAGGGUGCGAGCGUUAAUCGGAAUUACUGGGCGUAAAGGGUGCGUAGGUUGUUAUGUAAGUUAGUUGUGAAAUUCCUGGGCUUAACCUGGGGUGGUCAACUAAUACUGCGUGACUUGAGUAUGGGAGAGGGUAGUGGAAUUUCCGGUGUAGCGGUGAAAUGCGUAGAUAUCGGAAGGAACACCGGUGGCGAAGGCGUCUACCUGGCCUGAUACUGACACUGAGGCACGAAAGCGUGGGGAGCAAACAGG
rnacentral:misc_RNA from 1 species